GGAGAGUCACCUCCCUCCGGUGUUCGUUCCCGUUUCUUUUGUUUGGGAGUUUGCUCCUCCUCCUGUUCGUCUGGAGGAGAGGUUUUAACUUUGGGGUUUGAACCUUUUUUAGUUUUGCCCCCAGUUGCGAUUAAUUUUUUAACGGCGCGACACUCCUCGGUGGAAUGUCCUUUUU
rnacentral:sRNA from 1 species